UUUAAAUUUAAAUUCAUGUCCCCUUUCCCUCACCUUCACACAGUAUAAAAAGUGAUACUUCAACUUUAGAAAUAAUUCAGUGGCUUGAAUGUCUCAUGUUUGUUGCCCAGACUCAAAUGCUGUGUUAAUAAAUCCUUGUGGCUGACAGCCAUAAUUUGAGCUCGAGCAUCGUGGGCCUGGUUAAUGCUAUUUCCUGAAGGGAUGCAACUUACACUCCUGGAACCAGCGUUAGUACUAAAGACAAAUUAGAAUCUGCCUUUUAAUUUCUUCCUUGUAAAGAAGAAUUUUUUUUAAAUUUGAAACAGCUUUGAUGACAAUCAAGAGAGACAAGAAAGAGGUUAAACUGGGAUACUGCGUUUCCUGAGUAUUUCCAAAGUGAAGUUGUUUGUAAGUUUCCAGAGAGUUGAUUCCAAUUAUGUUAAAUUAUCUGCAAAUAUAAAUAUGUUAAGUUAAUUCUGCUACUGUGCAGUAACUCCAGAGUUUGUUUGUGAUUUGGGAUUUUUUUUUGUUUCAGCUGUAGUGCAAUAGCUCCCUGGUUGUGCUUAUGGCCUUUGAAAUUCAGUUGGGUCCUGCUGCACAUGGGAGGAGCUUAUUGAUGAUGCUGCUGUAGGAAAGGGGUGUCUUCUAGCAGCCUUGAAUGCUGAGUUGCAGGCACAGUGAAAGUGUGGCUGGGCAUGAGCCCUUGUCAUCAUCAGUGUUUCACUCAGAUUUUUGUUCUGAGUAUAUACCAUAGCAGGGAUACCUGUUCAUUCAGCUUAAAUGGCAGUUUAAGAUUGGAAAUUAGGAAUUAGGUGUAAUAUCUGUUGUUAUUGUGACUAGUUCUUUGGUUGGCAGGGUUGUCGUUUUGUUUGUUUUUUUUUUUUUUUUUUUUUUUUUCCUGGGUUUGUUUGUUUUAUUGCUUUUGUUAUAUUAAAAUGUUUGCUGAUACCUUUAUGAAAGUAACCAAAAAUACCUGUGAUCUUGUUUGCUGCCCCUCCAGGAGCUGUGAGAUCAUGUGAUGAUUUGUGGGUGAGAUGGUGGCUGCAGUAUCUGUGUAAGGAAGGGUUCUCCCUUUGUGAGGGGCAGGAUAGAAGGGUGUAGGUAAAGAGUGACAGAUGGGGGACAGCAAAUGUUGUCUCUAAAGUACAGAAGACUGUUCAAAAAGGAAGAUGCUUCUAAGUAAUGCCCAAAGAAAGAGGAAUGGAGUUGUUGAUGCAUAGUUUAAUCUUUGGCUGGUAUCUGUAUUGGAAUGAUUUGGGGUACUUUGAUAGACCUGAAGAUAGGUUAGUGUAAUGGUGUAGCCACACAAAGAAGUAAGGUAGUACGAAGUAAGUGUGACAGUGUUGGGCAAAGCAGGGCAGGUUUAUAUCAUGUUAUCACUGAACAGCAAGUGUUCCCUAUGUUCAGAUUAUACUUUACCUUGCAGUAACUCAUUUGUGUGUUCUUCUCUUAGGGCGCUACAUUCCUUCUGGGGAAUGUAGCUGCAUGAGUUUGGGCUUCCUGUUCUGUCCCUGUGCCAGAGCUGCUGCUAACGUUCUGUGUGGGGAGAGCAGAAGUGAACCUGUGCACGUAGGCUGGUGCUGUAGCUAAUUCAGUUUUGUGUGAGUUUAACCAUGCCUUGCUAGAAAGUUGCAGCAACGUGAGCAAACUUUGCACUGAAGCAAUGAGUGCUCCUUCCUACCAGUUCUGGUGUUGUGGAGAGAAGGGAGAAGGCAAGAAGAUUAGAGGGCUUUGUGUUUGAGAGCAGCUUUUGGAAGCUUCUUAAGCUUCCCUGCAUGUAAUUUCAGUUCUCUAUAAAGUAUACAGAGUUUCUUGUAGUUUCUCUUCCUCUGAGAAUUAAGUUUUGCGGUAGAAGAUAUAACUUGUAAAUUCUAUUCCACUGAGAAAGUGUUUGCUGGAAAUCUAUACCAGCUUCAUUGCCUGGUAUUAAAAGAUUUGUCUAGUGCUUGCAGGCAAGCCAUGAUAAAUUAGGUAGUGGUAUCAGGGGUAUCAGAAGUUGGCUUGCGUGCAGAGUCCAUUGUGAUUAGUUCAAAUGUUGUAACUAGUGUAUUUUGUAAACUUGGAAUCUAUGAAAAUAUGGAAAAAAAAAUGUAUUUUUUGCAGGAAGUUCUAGUACUUUCAAAUUAAACUAAGAUUUCUAAUACGUCCUGACUUAGAUUGUUUAUAUAUGGAACUAUUUUGAAUGUAGCAUCAGAAAUCUCUUUCCUAUCAGUAGGUAGAGAUAUCCUUAAAUCUUAUUCUGUUUUGUUUUAUCUUGCAACUGUGUACAUUAAAUGUAUGACUUGUAUUUGUUUUUCAGAUAUAUUGUAAAGAUGCAGGUUUGAUAAAUUGCACUGGAUGCCACUCUGACAUAAGCUAAAAAUUUCAGUAAAGUUUUUAGGCCUUGUAUUUUUAAAUUUUAAUACACAUUCUGAGACAUGACAUAAACGUAUGCUGAGUUUGGACGAGAUGUUUUGUUUUAUUUUCUUUGUUUCAUCUUAAAUAGCCCAAGAUGAAAAAGCCUUGGAGAAAUACUGAAGUCUCUUCCCCUCUGCACACCAUAGGGGAUAGGCAAUUUACUUCCUCCCUUCCUGCAAUGCACUGCUGCAUGAUGGUGACGCAACUGAAAACUUCACUUUUGAAUUGAAGGAAGUACUAUUACGUAAAAACUGAGAGCAAAAGAAAUUCUUAUUUAUGUAGCAAGUAGCUUUUUAUGUGGGUUUGAUGUUGGUGGGGCAGGGGGAGGGCUGGCAAGUGUUCUCAUUUGACAGACAACUGUUGAAUACCUCGAAGGAGGGCGAGUCCACAACCUCUGUGCAGCCUUUGCCAGUGCUCACUCAUCCUUAAAAUGAUUGCUGAUGUUCAGAGGCACCUUCUUUGCUCUAGCUGUACCCAUUGCUUCUGCACCCAGCAUUGGUUGCCACUGGAAAGAGAGCCCCUGUUGUCUUUGCAUCUUCCCUCCAGAUGUUUAUACACAAUUAUAAGAUCCAGCCUUAGGCUUGGUUUUUCUCUAAGCUGAAUUAAUGGAAGGUAGUUUAGCUUGAUACCAGAGAAUAUAACAGGAAUCUGGGUUACUAUGGAGAAUGGAAAAAUCCUUGUAAUGCAAGCUGAUCAAUAUGCUUGAGGCCAGGCAGUGCUGCAGCUGAGCAUAUGGAGUUUACUCAAUUCUUUUGACGCUUUCUAAUUUCUGCUGAGGCCAGCUGGGGUCUGGAGCUGGAAGAAGUGCCCCUGUGCCAUGCUCCUCCCUUAGCUCUUGUUUUGGGAAGCUCUGGUAGCUCAAGCACACCGCAGGGAGCCAUGCUGGGUUUGGUGUUUUUCCCCAGGGUGCCAUGCUGUCUGGAUCUCUGCUCACUGCAGCAGUGCUUAAAUGGCUUUUAGCAGGGCCAGCUUGAUUCUUUGAGACUCAAAUAAUUUGGGUUCUGCCCGAGAUUGUGCAGUAAGCUACCCACUGAAGCAGUGUCUUUGUUGUCAGUGUGGCUCUUUAUGUGGUCGGAUGGGGUGCACCUGUGUCUUAAGUCAAUCGUGAAUGUGUUCUGUUAUUUUCCACUUACAUUUCUUCCUUCUCAUGAGCUUCUGCUGUGCUUCUGUUAUGGGACUACUGUAAUGUAUUUAGCAAAGCAUAUACUGGCUAUUUAAAUUGAUCAUGAAGCAUAGACUUGUUUUUUUUUUCCAAGUAAUUUUAGGGUUUUUACUGUCAUAUCUUCUACAAAUUUUCUUAGCUCAUUAGAGAUACGAAGUAGGUUUCAAUUUGGUUUGGAUUUCCUUGCAUGGACUAGUAUGAUAUGAACAUCCUGAACACUUGUUAAAAAUUCUGGGUAUCUUGUAAAUUAAUUGUUCUGAUAGCUGAAAGUUAACUUUAUUCUGCUAGCUGUACUUAAUUUGGUUCAAUUUAAUGUGAUGGUUGUCUGAGAACUUCCUUCUAGCACAUAACAACUUUGAGAAUUCAUCUGGUCUCAUUUAGCAAGAGCGUUUGGGAAAGGGCAGAAGAAUGCUUACCGUAGUGAAACAAAGCUCAUAGGCUAGGUGUGUAGAAUUCAGUGCUCAAUGGGAUAAAUGACUUACAGGAUUCCAAUUUCCACAUGAGAGUUAGUGUAGCAAUGUGGAACAUGUUCAUCUGCUGUGAAUUUCUGCAAGUUCAAACGGAUUUUAGAGACCUGACCAGUAAGUCUGUUUCUUCCUCGGGUUUUAUGCAAGGUGAGGUAACUGCUGCCAUGGAUCUGGUUUGCAUUGCUGAGUGAUCCAGCAGUGCUAAGCUUUGGAGCAGGUUGAAACGUGUCAGAACUUUAAAAUUCAGCAUCUAGUUAAGACUUUUCAAACUAAUGUUGCUGCACGUUUGUCUUAUGAAAUCUGGUAAGGCUUAGAGUAAAGAAAGCUGCUGUAUCACUUACGGGGAAUUAAAUAGCUCAACUGAUUUAUUCAUUUGUAUUGCACAAUAUAUUACACAAUCUGUCUAUUUCAGUUGCUACACAUCACAACCUCAAAUAUAGGAUCUGAAUCAGUAAUUGUGUUUUGAAGUGUUAAUGAUGUCUGAUUCUUUAAAUUAAUGUAGAAGAUCCUCCAAUGAAACUGUUCAGGUCUCUGUUUCGUUCCACAUCUGUGAAUGCUGAUCCCUCUUGCCAGUUGGUUUAUUCACUUAUAUGUAUUUGCAUUUGGGUGCUGGUGUGGAGUUUAAGCGCAAGGAAGUAAUAAAGGAAAAAGUGUAUUCCUUGUCCCAGAUGGUUUUUGUCUCCAGUUUCUUCAGCUUCUGCACCCAUCUGCCUGUGAUGUUGUGCAGGAUGGCUGAGGAUGCAGGUUGUUCAAGGACAUGUUUUUGUAGGCUGGUGUCUCUAGAAGAAAGCAAGAAAUAGGUUUAGUGACUGUUAUGGCUAGUUUAGUCUCGGUUUUGAAUAUUUAAGGUAGAUAGUAUGCCUAGUCUGCUGGCUUCUUUAGCAACAACAGAAACAAAUCUAAAAUGUGUAUUCAUACACUUGAAUUUUCUCAGGCCUGAACCUGAGCUUUAACAGUUGUAUUGUACGUGUAGCACAGGGAAAAAAAGAUAAAAGCAGCAAAUCCAAGUAGUUUCUAAGGAAUCUUGUCAGUUGGGAUCUGUUAUGAGAAUACUUCUGGUGUGCCAAUGUCUUUUUACUUAAAAAUACAUUGGAUAUCCUAAGCAUAACAAUAAGCAACAGUCUGACAUUUCCUGGAGCACAGCUUUCUUUUUUUUUUUUUGAGAUGGAAGCAAAGUGUUUUUCCAGUGUCUUUGACUUGCAAACCCCUGAGAAACAAGCAAACAACAACAGAAAAAAAAAUCUUUGUUCUCCUUAUGGCCUAAUUUGUCUUUGGGUGUGGAGAUUGACCUCAGAGGUUCCUCCGUGUAAGGAAAGUUGCAUAUAUAUGCUGGGAGGAGGGAGAGCUUACUCAGAACAAUAGCACAACUCAUCUGGAUAAGCUCUUAAAAUUGCCAAGAAUCACACCCUUACUAACCUCAACCAUGUCUUGAUAAUAGCCUGUGGGUUGUAGGUUAAAAUUCACUACGGUAAGGAGUAUUUUUUUUUUUUUUUUUUUUAGCUUCUUGUUUCUUGUGCAUCUGAGAGUAUCUUAUAUUGAAUUUUUUUCUUGACUCUCUCAAAUACAGCUGUAAUUGCAUAGUUUUGUCAUCUCUACUUCCCAACUGGUUACUUUGUAUGACAGUUAAUAAAAUGUGGAGUCUCAUUUACUGUUAUAUGUUAUUUUAAAAUGAAGCAUGUCUGUUGGUUGAAUAAUCGUAGCUUUUUAAUUCCUAAAAAUAUUAAACAUGAACAAUUCCCUAUUAUACUCUUUUUCUGCAAAGCUUAUUUUCUAUGAUCAGUUCAAGAAUGAAAAGUAACUUUUUAAUCCAUAGCUGCAGAGAAGUACAACUUAAGAGUUCUAAUGUCAAGGAGGCCUUGUUAAGCUUGAAAUCCUAAGUAAUUAAAAUUUAAUUUAGUGAUGAGAGUUUGUUGUCAAAUAAAUUACUUCUGGUAGAUCAGGUUGCUUGUAAAGUUCUUCUAAUACCAAUGUCAGAGCACUUCAACCUUCUCUGAAGUAAAAGAUAAAUAUGUCAGCGCUUUCAGAUGCAAAGCUUCUGGAAAUCUGCACCUUAAAUAUUCAGAAUUCUCUAUAUAAAUAUUUUCUGGUGUCCACUAGAAUUAACAGUACUCCAUGAUGGGUUUUUUUCAGGUCUGUGGUGUUUCUAGGCUGUCUUCCUGCUUACUAAGGCUACAAUAAACGACAAGUAAAACUCUACUAUCUAGCUGCAUUUAGUGUCUUACAGAGUUGUUGUUUCUGUUGUUUUCUAUUUCUGUUUUUUUGUAUAUGUGGAAAGCAGUGGAUCUUUGUUCCUCCUUCUCCAAAUAAUGUGUGAGGAAGGAAGAGCCUACAUGAUAGCUUUCUACAUUUCUGAAGAGCCUACAUGAUGGCUAUCUAAGAGCGUGAUAGACUGAAGUUUUUAGCCAAACUAAUGGGCUGGGGACUUCUAGUGUCUCCAGAGAAGUUUGUCUUCCUAUGCUGUCUUCUUACAACUGUUUCUUUCUACAUAAAAACACAUAAUGCACUUAAAACCUGGUCUAAAAUGGAAAUAAUUUGAUCCUAGUAUGCUGAACGUUCAGUAAAAAGCUACCUUUGGACUUUAUUGGGAAGUAUUCUUUGUGUUGCCUCUUGUUCCAUAUGAUGCUGAUCAAAAUAAAAUUGCUGGCAGCCAGUUAUUAUUCUAAUUGGUUUAAAAUGUGAUAAGUCUUGUUUCAGGUUACAGAUGCUUUGCACUUCAGGUGAAUGCUUACAAGUAGAGAUGCCGAGUGGAUUGGUCUUUUAUGUGUAUAUCAACCCUUGUUCUUGGUCUUCAUAUGCACUGUUUAGGUUUGUUAGGUACACAGUGAUAUGGCUUCUUAUCAUCAUGGGGAAAAGAUGACAACUUCCUAGCUGUUCUACCAGCUAGUUAUUUUUAAAUUAAUUUAGGUGUUUGCAAAGUAAAUGCAGAUAGCUUCUAAAUUACUUAUUGUUUUUUGUUUCUUGAGCCUUUUUGAUGAUAUAGUUUGUUUGUUUUUAAGUGGUUUAAGAAAUACCUCUACGCAAGUGCCUUAUUAAAUGCUCUUUGUGUAAGACAGCAACUUAUUCCUGCUUAAUUCAUGUACUUUAAAACUGUGGUUAGUGUGGUCCUUGUUGGAAUCCCUUUAGAUAAACAGAUGGAAAUAAACUGUUUUAACCAUCA